AAUGAACGUUGGCGGCGUGGAUUAGGCAUGCAAGUCGAGCGAGAAGGUUUAAAAGAUACUUCGGUUGGAUUUUUUAAACUGGAAAGCGGCGAAAGGGAGAGUAACGAGUAGAUACGUACCCAAGGGUUCGGAAUAGCUGCGGGAAACUGCAGGUAAUGCCGAAUAAUGUCUCCGGACCAAAGGUUUACUGCCCUUGGAGCGGUCUGCUUACUAUUAGCUUGUUGGUGGGGUAAAGGCCUACCAAGGCGAAGAUGGUUAGCGGGUGUGAGAGCAUGGCCCGUCUCACUGGGACUGAGACACUGCCCAGACACCUACGGGUGGCUGCAGUCGAGAAUCUUCCGCAAUGGACGAAAGUCUGACGGAGCGACGCCGCGUGAUGGACGAAGGCCCUCGGGUUGUAAACAUCUGUCGUAGGGGAGGAAAUUUUGACCGAUCCUAGGAGGAAGCACAGGCUAAGUUCGUG
rnacentral:rRNA from 1 species